GCCUACGGGGGGCAGCAGUGGGGGAUAUUGCACAAUGGGGGAAACCCUGAUGCAGCGACGCCGCGUGGGCGAAGAAGUAUUUCAGUAUGUAAAGCCCUAUCAGCAGGGAAGAAGAAAUGACGGUACCUGAGUAAGAAGCACCGGCUAAAUACGUGCCAGCAGCCGCGGUAAUACGUAUGGUGCAAGCGUUAUCCGGAUUUACUGGGUGUAAAGGGAGCGCAGGCGGCACGGCAAGCCUGAUGUGAAAGCCCGCGGCCCAACCGCGGGACUGCAUUGGGAACGACCGGGCUGGAGUGCCGGAGAGG
rnacentral:rRNA from 1 species